GCUAGAUCUUCUUACAACUUGUCCAAAAUAAGAUUUCAGACUUUUCAAAUGGGAUUUUAGUGCUGGAUUCCACUUCUGCCGUUCUGCCAUGUGAAUGGGACCUUACAGUAUGGAGAUUACAUAAAGCUGUUGCCGA